rnacentral:lncRNA from 1 species
CUCAGUUUCCCAAGUUGCAGGGAUUACAGGCAUGAGCCACUAUGCCUGGCUUUUUCUUCCUUUUAAAGGCUGAAUAAUAUUCUGUUGUAUGCAGGAAAGCAGGUUAAUUUAAAUUUUAAACUCCAGUGUUCACAAACUUAGCACAUUAACAUUACUUUGUACAUAAUAAAUUCACCCAUUAUUUGUUUCAUUAAAUUGGGUUAAUCGAUUAGGCACUCAGGUGUCAUUCCUAGCAAUGAGACUUUCUUUUUCAAUGUCAAGACUAUUGAUGGUCUCUACAGAAUCUUAGAUACAGCCUGAAAAUAGAGCUAUAGUUUUUAUUGGGGAAUUAAGGUGACUAGAAAAAUCUUAUAGAACUUCCAAGCCCUAGUCAACUAUUUUGGUCUGAGCACACACUUAUGAAUAGUAUUUUGGGGUAGGAAGGGAUUGUCUUAACCCAACAUCUUUACUUCCACAGUUUCCUAGCUGAGUCAGAACAGCUAUGGUGAAGGGCACAGUCCAGGGGAGAGUGAUGCUGUCAUGUAGAAGGAAUUGAUUUUCUGGCCACGACCAAAAGUCCCUAUGCCUUUGGAAAAACAGAAUGGAACUUGAAUUUGGGACUACUAUGAGAGACAUUUAGUUCUAUUUUCAGUAGUAGCUGCCUUUAGGUUCCCUCCAAAUGGGAAGAUGAAUGUCCUGUGUAAUGAAAGGCAAAGGGCUCAGGGGCAUCAUAUAAUCCACAUUUGGCUUAUAGAUUUGGUUCUGUACUCACAUUAAGCAUUGACAUGUUGGGUGCUCUGGAAAUACACUUCUCACAAGACAGGGAGAGCUGGCUCCAUAGCUCCUCCUGAGCCAG